AGUCAAGUAAUUAAGUGCAUGUGGUGGAUGCCUUGGCAGUCAGAGGCGAUGAAAGACGUGAUAGCCUGCGAAAAGCUCCGGGGAGGCGGCAAAUAUCCUUUGAUCCGGAGAUGUCUGAAUGGGGGAACCCACCUACUUUAAGGUAGGUAUUGCAACAUGAAUACAUAGUGUUGCAAGGCGAACGAGGGGAAGUGAAACAUCUCAGUACCCUUAGGAAAAGAAAUCAAUUGAGAUUCCCUCAGUAGCGGCGAGCGAACGGGGAUCAGCCCAUUAAGUUAUGUGUGUUUUAGUGGAACGCUCUGGGAAGUGCGAACGUAGAGGGUGAUAUUCCCGUACACGAAAGGGCACACAUAAUGAUGACGAGUAGGGCGAGGCACGUGAAACCUUGUCUGAAUAUGGGGGGACCAUCCUCCAAGGCUAAAUACUCCUGACUGACCGAUAGUGAGCCAGUACCGCGAGGGAAAGGCGAAAAGAACCCCUGUGAGGGGAGUGAAAUAGAUCCUGAAACCGCAUGCAUACAAGCAGUGGGAGCACCUUCGUGGUGUGACUGCGUACCUUUUGUAUAAUGGGUCAGCGACUUAUAUUCAGUAGCGAGGUUAACCGUAUAGGGGAGCCGUAGAGAAAUCGAGUCUUAAUAGGGCGUUUAGUUGCUGGGUAUAGACCCGAAACCAGGCGAUCUAUCCAUGAGCAGGUUGAAGGUUGGGUAACACUAACUGGAGGACCGAACCCACUGUCGUUGAAAAGCCAGGGGAUGACUUGUGGAUAGGGGUGAAAGGCUAAUCAAGCCUGGUGAUAGCUGGUUCUCCCCGAAAGCUAUUUAGGUAGCGCCUCGGACGAAUACCAUAGGGGGUAGAGCACUGUUUCGGCUAGGGGGUCAUCCCGACUUACCAAACCGAUGCAAACUCCGAAUACCUAUGAGUACUAUCCGGGAGACAGACUGCGGGUGCUAACGUCCGUAGUCAAGAGGAAAACAAUCCAGACCGCCAGCUAAGGCCCCAAAAUCAUAGUUAAGUGGGAAACGAUGUGGGAAGGCAUAGACAGCUAGGAGGUUGGCUUAGAAGCAGCCACCCUUUAAAGAAAGCGUAAUAGCUCACUAGUCGAGUCGGCCUGCGCGGAAGAUGUAACGGGGCUAAAACUAUGUGCCGAAGCUGCGGAUGUAUACUUUGUAUACGUGGUAGGGGAGCGUUCUGUAAGCCGAUGAAGGUGUGUUGAGAAGCAUGCUGGAGGUAUCAGAAGUGCGAAUGCUGACGUGAGUAACGACAAAACGGGUGAAAAACCCGUUCGCCGAAAGACCAAGGGUUCCAGUCCAACGUUAAUCGGGGCUGGGUGAGUCGACCCCUAAGGCGAGGCCGAAAGGCGUAGUCGAUGGGAAAAUGGUUAAUAUUCCAUUACUUCUGUGUAAUGCGAUGAGAGGACGGAGAAGGCUAAAUCAGCCUGGCGUUGGUUGUCCAGGUGAAAGGAUGUAGGCAUGUAUCUUAGGCAAAUCCGGGGUACUCUAUGCUGAGAUCUGAUAGCAAGCUGUACUUGUACAGCGAAGUGGUUGAUGCCAUGCUUCCAGGAAAAGUCUCUAAGCUUCAGUUACACAGGAAUCGUACCCGAAACCGACACAGGUGGUCAGGUCGAGUAGACCAAGGCGCUUGAGAGAACUCUGCUGAAGGAACUAGGCAAAAUGGUACCGUAACUUCGGGAGAAGGUACGCUGUUGUUGGUGAUGGAACUCGCUUCCUGAGCUGACGACAGCCGCAGAAACCAGGCCGCUGCAACUGUUUAUUAAAAACAUAGCACUCUGCAAACACGAAAGUGGACGUAUAGGGUGUGAUGCCUGCCCGGUGCUGGAAGGUUAAUUGAUGGGGUUAGCGUAAGCGAAGCUCUUGAUCGAAGCCCCAGUAAACGGCGGCCGUAACUAUAACGGUCCUAAGGUAGCGAAAUUCCUUGUCGGGUAAGUUCCGACCUGCACGAAUGGCAUAAUGAUGGCGGCGCUGUCUCCAGCAGAGGCUCAGUGAAAUCGAAAUCGCUGUGAAGAUGCAGUGUACCCGCGGCUAGACGGAAAGACCCCGUGAACCUUUACUGCAGCUUGACACUGAACUUUGACCUUACUUGUGUAGGAUAGGUGGGAGGCUUUGAAGCUGGAACGCUAGUUCCAGUGGAGCCGUCCUUGAAAUACCACCCUGGUAAUGUUGAGGUUCUAACUCUGUCCCGUGAUCCGGGACGAGGACCGUGUCUGGUGGGUAGUUUGACUGGGGCGGUCUCCUCCUAAAGAGUAACGGAGGAGUACGAAGGUGCGCUCAGCGUGGUCGGAAAUCACGCGUAGAGUAUAAAGGCAAAAGCGCGCUUAACUGCGAGACCCACAAGUCGAGCAGGUACGAAAGUAGGUCUUAGUGAUCCGGUGGUUCUGUAUGGAAGGGCCAUCGCUCAACGGAUAAAAGGUACUCUGGGGAUAACAGGCUGAUACCGCCCAAGAGUUCAUAUCGACGGCGGUGUUUGGCACCUCGAUGUCGGCUCAUCUCAUCCUGGGGCUGAAGCAGGUCCCAAGGGUAUGGCUGUUCGCCAUUUAAAGAGGUACGCGAGCGUGGGUUUAGAACGUCGUGAGACAGUUCGGUCCCUAUCUACCGUGGGCGCUGGAAAUUUGAGAGGAUCUGCUCCUAGUACGAGAGGACCAGAGUGGACGAACCUCUGGUGUACCGGUUGUGACGCCAGUCGCAUCGCCGGGUAGCUAUGUUCGGAAGGGAUAACCGCUGAAAGCAUCUAAGCGGGAAGCCUACCUCAAGAUAAGAUUUCCCUAGGACUUUAUGUCCUCUAAAGAGCCGUUCGAGACUAGGACGUUGAUAGGUUGGAUGUGGAAGCAUAGUGAUAUGUGAAGCUGACCAAUACUAAUUGCUCGUGAGGCUUGACUAUACAACACCC
rnacentral:rRNA from 1 species